rnacentral:rRNA from 1 species
UACAGAGGGGGCAAGCGUUGUUCGGAAUUACUGGGCGUAAAGUGUGCGCAGGCGGCGUUGCAAGUCGAGUGUGAAAUCCCCGAGCUUAACUUGGGAAUUGCGCUCGAAACUACGAUGCUCGAGUAUGGCAGAGGAAGGUGGAAUUCCACGUGUAGCGGUGAAAUGCGUAGAGAUGUGGAGGAACACCGAUGGCGAAGGCAGCCUUCUGGGCCAAUACUGACGCUCAUGCACGAAAGCGUGGGGAGCAAACAGG